rnacentral:rRNA from 1 species
ACAUGUGAUGCUACAACCCAACUGGGGGAUCGCUCGGCUCGAGUGCCGAUGAAGGUCGUGACAAGCUGCGAUAAGCUGCGGGGAGGUGCAUGUAUACCAUGGAUCCGCAGAUGGCUGAAUGGGACUUCCUGUUUCUUCGGAAACAAUCGCAAAUGCGAUAGGGAACCCUCCGAAUUGAAGCAUCUUAGUAGGAGGAGGAAAUGAAAUCAAUAGAGAUUCCGUGAGUAGUGGCGAAUGAAAACGGAUCAGGACAAGCCGAAUCCCGAAACGAAAGUGAGGGAGAUGUGGUUGUCAGUCUUUUGUCUAAGUCAUAGAAGGUGAAAUUGCCUGGAACGGCAUAGCCAGAGAGGGUGAAAGUCCCGUAACCGUAUAUGAUAUGACCACGUGACUGUCAAAGAGUAGCAUGCGUUGGAAAUCGCGUGUGAAUGUGGGACGCAAAUAGUUCCAAUCCUAAAUACAACUCGAGACCGAUAGUUUACAAGUAACGUGAGUGAAAGCUGAAAAGUAUCCUUAGCGGGAUGUGAAAAGAACGUGAAACCAGUUGGGUACAGGCUGAUUGGGCGUGAAAGCGAUGAUAUGAGCAGCGUCCAGUCGUGCGUUUAGAAAAAUGCCCCAGGGAGUCUUGAUCAUUGGCGAGGUUAAG